UGGGGAAUUUUGGACAAUGGGGGCAACCCUGAUCCAGCAAUGCCGCGUGAGUGAAGAAGGCCUUCGGGUUGUAAAGCUCUUUUGUCAGGGAAGAAAAGGUUGUGGCUAAUAUCUGCGACUCAUGACGGUACCUGAAGAAUAAGCACCGGCUAACUACGUGCCAGCAGCCGCGGUAAUACGUAGGGUGCAAGCGUUAAUCGGAAUUACUGGGCGUAAAGCGUGCGCAGGCGGUUUUGUAAGACUGUCGUGAAAUCCCCGGGCUCAACCUGGGAAUGGCGAUGGUGACUGCAAGGCUAGAGUUUGGCAGAGGGGGGUAGAAUUCCACGUGUAGCAGUGAAAUGCGUAGAUAUGUGGAGGAACACCGAUGGCGAAGGCAGCCCCCUGGGUCAAAACUGACGCUCAUGCACGAAAGCGUGGGGAGCAAACAGGAUUAGAUACCCCUGUAGUCC
rnacentral:rRNA from 1 species